AUCGUGGAUCUGGAAUCCAUGUGGAGAUUUGAUCGCAGAUCCUUCGUCAUCAGAAAUUGAGCUUCGCGUCUUCAUUUUUCCCCCUCUCUUCCCCAUAUCGACUUCGAUCAAGCUUGCGGAAGGUCAGAGAUGAUCGAACGAAUGUGUUUAGGAAGAUGAUUGAGCAGAAAUUGAAGAAAUCACGAGAAAAUUCGAAGAAAUCAAUACAAUAAGCUCUGGUACCAUAAUAGAGAUCGAGAGCAAAGAGAGAUUUGGUAAACUGAUCUCUUAUUUUCCACAAACGGAAUGUGUUCUGGUACAAGAUAUAUAUACAAUUACUUAACUUGUAAACCAGACUGAAAUCAAGUAUACCAGCUAAUCUAAUCUAAUCUAGAUUAAACCGGUUUACACAUAUAUAAUAAUAACCUUAUCACUCAAGGUGUUAGUGUUACUAUCUCCCUUCUUCAGCACCGCGUCCGACAUUCUCACCCAAAGAGAGGUUGCGGGAAAUGAAAGAAAGACACGUACCUUUUUCUCUCUCUUUCCCAGAAAUAAAAACCACUCUCCCGAAAUUCUCUCUACUUCCUUUAUAUACGGUUAGCAACCUACAUAGUUAGUAAUUGGGCUUUUCUAAACUUUGAAACCCAAUAAUGAUAAUCCAAACGGAACAAAUAGCUAAACCUAACCGGAUAAACCAAAACCGGAUUCGAAUCGUUAUUAAAAAAUAUCCAAACUAAACCAAAAUCCAAACUAAGAUCCAAAAAUAUCUGAAAUUAGUUAAAUACGUUAAUGUUGUAAUAUAUGUUAAGGUGAAUUAUAUAUUUUAAAGUAUUCAAAAUAUUUUUGUAGUUUUGUUUAUUUGUUAUUUUGAAUACUUUUUAGUUAAUUUAGAUAAUUUAACUAUUUUUAAUUAGAUUUUUGAAUAAUUUCUAUAUACAUUUUUAAAACAAUUGUCAAACUUUGGUUACAAUCCGAUCCGAACCGAACCGAACCUGACCCUAUAAUUAGUAAAACCCGAACAUGAAUUAUGAGCGUAACACUGAAAAUCAGAAAAUCCUAAUCAACCGAACCGAAACCGACGGGCCCCGAACGACCAGGCCUAGGAACAAAUCAUUAUUGCAAUAAUUUGUCCACUCAGAAAAUUUGAAUUAGUUAAUUUUAUAAAUGUAAGAUGAUUUUAUGUGAAUUGAAAAUUUUAAAAAUCUAUUAUAAAACCGCAAUAUUUUGAUUUUGUUGUCUUUGACUAAAAAAUCUGUUAAAACACCUUUAAAACAAUUUCAGAAUUUACAAAAUUUUCCGAUAACGAUAAAUUUCAGAAUAUUUUAUCAAAUUUAAUAACACUAGAUAUUAAUAAUAUUUUUAAUAUUCAUGUUUAAAUAACACUAGAUUUAUUAUUUUAAGAUAAAUAAUCUCAAAUUCUUUAUUGAAUACUUUUUUUAUUCAUUUUUAUGAGUUAUUUAAUUUUGUGCUGAAAACGUUGAAAACAUUAUUUAAGAAAAAACAAAAGGAAAACAGUGUAUCUUAUAACUGUCGGUUAAAUCCGUGCGAUAGAAAACUUUUAGUUCCAAUUCACAAAAAAACACGGUACAUUUCAUGCUUCAGAUACAUAUCUUAGUCACAUGUUUAAGGGCAUUUAAUUUUAAAAACUAACUAGAUUUUUAUUUUCAUUCUUACCAUUUUGAUAAAAUUUGAUUGAAUGUAUAACUUCUAUUAGAAAACAAAUAAUUUAGAAGUUAUUUUAUUGUUUCAAAAAGAUAUUGUUAUAUUAUAGUGUUUAAUUUUCAAGCAUUGUUCUCGUAUCUGGCUCAUACCGUGGUCAACCGGUAGAUCCGGCAACUUGUGUAUAAUCUAGUUUGGAUUUUUUUUUAAUUAGAAAUCCGAUAAAUCCCUACAAAAAUUCAAAAACCAUUAUCAACUCACGAUCCGAUAUUGGAUGAUCAGCUAAAAACCCAAAAGAUAUGAUUUUUUUUAUUUUUUUGAUUAAAUAACUCAUGUUUUUUAAUAUUAUAUAAAAUUGAUUUUUUUUAUUUCUUAGACUUCGAUGGGCACACCGGAGUGUUGACGCUACGGGCAAAGUAUCUACCAAGAGGUUGCUUUUGCAAGUUUGAAACAAAAGUUUGGUAUGCUACUGAGAAUAAAGAUUUCUUCCAUGUUAUCACAUCCUGCAGCAGAAGCUUGCCUCCACCUCCAGGUAAAAAGGCAAAAUGGUCAUAUAUUUUGUUUUGUUGUUCGUUAUUAAAAACUCUCUCUCUCCAUAUAUAUAUUUUUUUUGUUGGUCAUGUCUACCACAGAGGAUGAAAAACAAGAAUGUGGAUUUGACACACUUUCCAUGGAUGAGCUAUUCAAAGUCAAUAUGCCUGAUUGGUUGCCUGAUGACUAUGCCACUAGUAAGCUGCAAUACUACGAGAUGAAAGAAUCAGAUGUGGAACAAGGAAAAGAAUGGCUUCCUUCAUCUAUACGCGGAACUAGCCUUAUACACCAAGAUGCAAACGGACCCGUACAUGUUUGAGCAGUCAAACCCAUUUGAGUUGGGAAAGGUAAUUGUGCAAAUCAGAGGAGUUGUCGGCUCAAUGGAAAAGGUCACAGUGGAUAAUGCAGUCUUCUACAUUAGCUUCAAAACAGGGUGUGGUGUUGUCUGCAAAGGUGUCAUAAGGAGAACAAGGGAUGGGAUGCCAGAGCAUUUAUCCCUUGAAGCCAAGUGGUUGGAAGGAUGUCGGAGUCCCUCAUUAUUUUCUUAAUGGGUUGCUGAGACUAUGAGAGUAUUAAAAUCGGUCUAAGUAACGUUUGUCUUCCAUCUAGCAAGUAUCUUAAGAUGAUUUAGCGCCUUAUGAAUUCAAAAAAACUACUAUAAAUAUCUUCAUAUUUGUGCCUUCUAUCUAGGAAAAUCACAUAACAAAAUAACACGUGGAUAGAAAAGAAAAUAUCAAGAAAAUGCAAAAAUUUGUUAAUGCCUUACUUUAGAUCUUUAAUCGUAUAUAUAUAUAUAUAUAUAUAUAAGUAUAUCUUUUUUACUAAUUAUAUGUAUGGGUAAUCCUGUUUAAUAUAAUAACAAAUUUAAUUAAAUGCUCUUGGCCAAACUGAGUUCAUAGUUCCACUAAAAAUGCAUGCAAAAUGUUUUGAUACACAAUAU